AGGAGGUUAUCUCUCCAGGAACAGGGUUGGAGAGCCCAUGGUCUAGAUAGAUGUAAACCUACAGGAGGGUAUCUCUCCAGGAACAGGGUUGGAGAGCCCUGGACUAGAUAGAUGUAAACCUACAGGAUGGUAUCUCUGCAGGAACAGGGUUGGAGAGCCCUGGACUAGAUAGAUGUAAACCUACAGGAGGGUAUCUCUCCAGGAACAGGGUUGGAGAGCCCUGAACUAGAUAGAUGUAAACCUACAGGGCGGCAACAUGACUGUUUAGUGGUUUCUAGUGGCACAUCAAAUGUGUCUAUAUUCUGGUGAAAGAUCUGUGGUAGUUGAGAACUGUUCAUGGCUUUGAACCCCUCCUUCAUUCACCCUCUAUCAGACCGUUUUGAUCAUGAUCUGCUGUAUCAUUAUAACCAAACCUCUUACUGGUUGUUGUUGUCUCUCUCUCUCUCUCUCUCUCGCCUCCUCUCUCUCUCUCUCUCUCGACUCCUCUCUUUUCCCUCCUCUCUCUCUCUCCCUCCUUCUCUCUCUCCCUCCUCUUCUCUUUUCCCUCCUCUCCACAGUGAUGACAUUACAUGACCAGCGCAGGCAGGGGUGAUGGGCGGGUGCAUGACCAUGGCUUAAUAAUGAGUCGAGCUGAAAAUAACCCUUCAUCAAUUCAACACUAACCCUCAACUCUAACGGAGGACGGGCCGGGCGGGCGGGCCCAGAUUAUGCCCAGGACUGGGGGGGGUAAGGGCUCUCUACAGACCGAGACGGCGCCGCCCUCUCAGAGGCCACCCUAACCUACCGCCCCCCUCCUCCUCCUCCUUCCUUCACAGACCUGCAUCUGCUUGCGAACCUCUAUCGUCAUGACAUACUCUGAGACAACAACAGUCGUCUCUGGUGGGGUAACGGGGAGAGCUGGAGCUAGGGCUGGGGAUAAACAAAACAAAAACAUUUGAAAGAUUCUUCAUGCUGUGUCCAAGGUCAAAGAAACCUCUUGUUCUAAAUGUGUGGUGCAAAGCGAGGACUACAUGGAAGACAGUGUUAUUCUUAGUGACCGGAUGGUUUUCUGUAGACUUUGACAAUGACGAUGAUCAAGCGACUAGCAACACUGUACUGUAAACCUGGUGUGUAUCUGUUGGGUGUUCCACCCACUUCUCUCUCUUUGUGUUUCACUGGGUCUGAGAGGAAAAGAGCAAUAUCAUCAUUUAUUUCACAUGAUCCUCUAAUCAAAUGUGUAUAUACUGAGUGUACAAAACAUUAGACUCUGGACUCUACAAGGUGUCGAAGCCGUUCCACAGGGAUGCUGGUCCAUGUUAACUCCAAUACUUCCCACUGUUGUUCCAAGUUGGCUGGAUGUCUUUUGGGUGGUGAACCAUUCUUGAUCCACACGGGAAACUGUUGAGAGUGAAAAACCCAGCAGGGUUAAAGUUCACGACUCAAACCGGUGCGUCUGGCACCUACUAAUGUUCAAAGGAACUUCAAUAUUUUGUCUCGUCCAUUUCACCCUCUGAAUGGCACACAUACACAAUACAUGUCUCAAUUGUCUCAAGGCUUAAAAAUCCUUCUGUAACCUGUCUCCUCCCCUUCAUCUACCCGGUGUCCCAUGUCUAAAUCAGGCCCUGGUGUCCCAUGUCUAAAUCAGGCCCUGGUGUCCCAUGUCAAAAUCAGGCCCUGGUGUCCCAUGUCUAAAUCAGACCCUGGUGUCCCAUGUCUAAAUCAGACCCCGGUGUCCCAUGUCUAAAUCAGACCCCGGUGUCCCAUGUCUAAAUCAGGCCCCGGUGUCCCAUGUCUAAAUCAGGCCCUGGUGUCCCAUGUCUAAACCAGACCCUGGUGUCCCAUGUCUAAACCAGGCACCGGUGUCCCAUGUCUAAAUCAGGCCCUGGUGUCCCAUGUCAAAAUCAGACCCUGGUGUCCCAUGUCUAAAUCAGGCCCUGGUGUCCCAUGUCUAAAUCAGACCCUGGUGUCCCAUGUCUAAAUCAGACCCUGGUGUCCCAUGUCUAAAUCAGACCCUGGUGUCCCAUGUCAAAAUCAGGCCCUGGUGUCCCAUGUCUAAACCAGACCCUGGUGUCCCAUGUCUAAAUCAGGCCCUGGUGUCCCAUGUCUAAAUCAGACCUGGAUUCAAACUGUUCCAGAGUUGAGUUGGGGGGCUCUAUGUCACGGAAAGAGCAGGUGUUCUUAAUGUUUUCUACACUCAGUCUAGAUGUUCAGUUUCCAUGUAUUUCCGUUUAAGUGUUCUGAUGACUUCUCUAUGUAAGGAGUGCUCUGCUUCUUUAUUUCACUGAUAAUAACCUCGAUGUGUUUCUCUCUCUUUAAAUUGGUAGAAGAGAUCACAUGCUUCUAUCUAGCCUUUAUGACUUUGAUAUGUAUUCCUGUUUUUAUUCGCCUUACAUAUGCAGUAUUGACUUAGAUUCAUGCAUACAUAUGCAGUAUUGACUUAGAUUCAUACAUUUCCUACAUUGUAUAAAAUGUGUAAAACCUUUCUCUAACCUUUUUAUAAAACAAGUAGGCUUGUUGAUAGGAUGCCAUGGCAGAGCCUUUUUGAAAAAAUACAGCAAGAUGGCCGACGCAGUAAGACUGCCCUGUCCCGGGUCGUGGUUCAUUAGCAGAUGGCGGACGCAGUAAGACUGCCCUGUCCCGGGUCGUGGUUCAUUAGCAGAUGGCGGACGCAGUAAGACUGCCCUGUCCCGGGUCGUGGUUCAUUAGCAGAUGGCCGACGCAGUAAGACUGCCCUGUCCCGGGUCGUGGUUCAUUAGCAGAUGGCGGACGCAGUAAGACUGCCCUGUCCCGGGUCGUGGUUCAUUAGCAGAUGGCCGACGCAGUAAGACUGCCCUGUCCCGGGUCGUGGUUCAUUAGCAGAUGGCCCACGCAGUAAGACUGCCCUGUCCCGGGUCGUAGUUCAUUAGCAGAUGGCUCACGCAGUAAGACUGCCCUGUCCCGGGUCGUGGUUCAUUAGCAGAUGGCUCACGCAGUAAGACUGCCCUGUCCCGGGUCGUGGUUCAUUAGCAGAUGGCCCACGUAGUAAGACUGCCCUGUCCCGGGUCGUGGUUCAUUAGCAGAUGGCCCACGUAGUAAGACUGCCCUGUCCCGGGUCAUGUUCAUUAGGCACCAAACGUUAGAAAACGGACUGAAAUGGGGAUGUUCUACCUCCACCUGUCCAGUAUAAAACAUUCAUUUUAGUACGAGAACAAACACACGUUUUCAUUUUUUAUUGAACCUUUAUUGAACUAAGCAAGAACAAUUCUUAUUUACAAUGACGGCCUACCCUGUUCAAACCUUCCCCUAGCCCGGACGACACUGGGCCCGGGAUCGAACCCGGGUCUGUAGCGAUGCCUCUAGACCCGCUGCGUCACUAAUGGACCACUAACCAAUGGACAGACGGGUAGAAGUCAAAGAGGAUCUUUCCUAUCAUGUUAUAUCAUGAACAUGUUGAAAGUGCUUUCGCCUCGAGUGUAAAAACCAAACCGGUGUGAGUAAGACUAGACUUAUUGACUUGUUGCUGAUACUGUGUUUUUUUCAGUUUAUAAUAAAAGGAUGUGUCCAUAUUAUUAUGUAACUGAUGAACUUUGUAUGGCUGUUACUACUUGUGUUAAAUACUAGUCUCCUGACAUGUGGUGAUAUGAUUGGUAGGGCAACGUGUCUCUACUUGUGUUAAAUACUAGUCUCCUGACAUGUGGUGAUAUGAUUGGUAGGGCAACGUGUUACUACUUGUGUCCCAGAUCGGUUGGUCUCCUGGCAUGGUCCCAGAUCAGUUAGUCUCCUGGCCUGGUCCCAAAUCGGUUAGUCUCCUGGCCUGGUCCCAGAUCGGUUAGUCUCCUGGCCUGGUCCCAGAUCGGUUAGUCUCCUGGCCUGGUCCCAGAUCGGUUAGUCUCCUGGCCUGGUCCCAGAUCGGUUGGUCUCCUGGCCUGGUCCCAGAUCGGUUAGUCUG
ensembl:lncRNA